rnacentral:rRNA from 1 species
GUGGGUAGUUUGACUGGGGCGGUCUCCUCCUAAAGAGUAACGGAGGAGCACGAAGGUUGGCUAAUCCUGGUCGGACAUCAGGAGGUUAGUGCAAUGGCAUAAGCCAGCUUGACUGCGAGCGUGACGGCGCGAGCAGGUGCGAAAGCAGGUCAUAGUGAUCCGGUGGUUCUGAAUGGAAGGGCCAUCGCUCAACGGAUAAAAGGUACUCCGGGGAUAACAGGCUGAUACCGCCCAAGAGUUCAUAUCGACGGCGGUGUUUGGCACCUCGAUGUCGGCUCAUCACAUCCUGGGGCUGAAGUAGGUCCCAAGGGUAUGGCUGUUCGCCAUUUAAAGUGGUACGCGAGCUGGGUUUAGAACGUCGUGAGACAGUUCGGUCCCUAUCUGCCGUGGGCGCUGGAGAACUGAGGGGGGCUGCUCCUAGUACGAGAGGACCGGAGUGGACGCAUCACUGGUGUUCGGGUUGUCAUGCCAAUGGCACUGCCCGGUAGCUAAAUGCGGAAGAGAUAAGUGCUGAAAGCAUCUAAGCACGAAACUUGCCCCGAGAUGAGUUCUCCCUGAGACUUAAAGUCUCCUGAAGGAACGUUGAAGACGACGACGUUGAUAGGCCGGAUGUGUAAGCGCAGCGAUGCGUUGAGCUAACCGGUACUAAUGAACCGUGAGGCUUAACCUUACAACGCCGAAG